AGAGCGAACGCUGGCGGCAUGCUUAGCACAUGCAAGUCGCACGGCUGGGGUAACUCAGCAGUGGCGGACGGGUGAGUAACGCGUAGGUAUCUAUCUCUGGGUGGGGGACAACCGUGGGAAACUACGGCUAAUACCGCAUGAAGCCUGAGGGCCAAAGCAGCAAUGCGCCUGGAGAGGAGCCUGCGUACGAUUAGCUUGUUGGCGGGGUAAUGGCCCACCAAGGCGACGAUCGUUAGCUGGUCUGAGAGGAUGAUCAGCCACACUGGGACUGAGACACGGCCCAGACUCCUACGGGAGGCAGCAGUGGGGAAUAUUGGACAAUGGGCGCAAGCCUGAUCCAGCAAUGCCGCGUGAGUGAAGAAGGUCUUCGGAUUGUAAAGCUCUUUCGACGGGGACGAUGAUGACGGUACCCGUAGAAGAGCCCGGCUAACUUCGUGCCAGCAGCCGCGGU
rnacentral:rRNA from 1 species